GCGGUUCCAUGCUGAUUUCUCCUGGAGA
rnacentral:sRNA from 1 species